GUCACCGUUGGUCAAAAGUAAUGUCGCGUUCAGUAAGACAUAAGGUUUUGGAACGUUCAGAUGUAAUAGAUAUACGAUGUAGGCUAGAACAGACAUGACUCUGGCAUGUAAAAUAAGGAAAAUAAUCAGCUCUAUUACUGGAAUCUCUAACUGCAAUAUUCGACAAUAUUUGGCAACUUUAUGUGGCUUCAUUUGGAUGUUAAAAUCUGAUAAUAACUGAAUUGAAGUUGGCCCGUGUAGCAGACCUUUCCAUCCAAUUGCAUUAUAUAAUGGGUUUAAUAGCCAUAUUUUGUUUGGUUGUAGUCCAAUGAAUGCUUCCGAAUUUUGCCUUCCCACUGAUGACACAUACUCUAAUUAAAUCAUCUAUUAAAAUAAAUGUAUGAAAUACAUACAAUCCAUGUGGAUUUUAACGACGCAUAUGUUCAAUAUAAAAACAAAUAUGUGUAUCACAUGCUUUUACAGUGGGCUACAUUGUUAUUUUGUUUAUAGGUUGUUUGUGUAUGUGACCAAGUUUCAACGUCACACGUCAGUCAUGAUGCUGGUAUAAAACCUUGGUCCGACUAUUUCAGUGAUCACAUUUUCAGAGGGACUGUGGCUGCGCUUGAAGUUGUGGCCAAGAUCAUCAUCAGGAUGUCAAAAAUGACAGUUGUUCAUCUUGGAGUGAUUGUCUUCGCCAUAUAUUUAUCGACACAGGUGGUCUCCCAAAACACAACAGGAUCCACAUGGGUUAACGCGACAAGUGCGGGCUCCAGCGUCAAUUCCACCACCAUGGCCACAGACACAUACAGCAGCUCGGCCAACUCCACCUCCCCUACCGGAGCGGGCGUGUCACUGCAGUCCAGCCCCUUCUCUCACCUGCUCCCCACCGUCAUGGCGACCUCCCUCCUGCACCGUUACUGUUGAACCCUUGAUCCACCGCCCUAUUACCAUCACCACCACCACUCCCCUCAACCGCACUGAACAGAGACCACUAGGCUCACAUCUAAGAUUUCACCCCACCCACUCAUUUGCCCAAAAGAAAGAAAAUCCUAGUGCUGCCAUUUUUCUCCGAAGGGGGAGUGUAAUGUCAGUUGGAGAGGAAGCUGCCACCAUCACCACCCCUUUCAAAUCACUUAUGGAGAAUCAAAGGAAUGGCACUCUUCAACAUGGCUUCCUGCUCCAGCACUAUACUCCAUCAUCCCUCAAGACCUGUGUUUCCAUAGCAACUCCACCAAAACAUCCUGGUUAUCAGUCUGUGGAAUGCUGGGGGAUGUAGGCCUGGAGGAUGCAGGUGGUUGUCAUGUCACAUGUCUCUCAAAAGGUGGACCACUUUGGUGUACAGAAGUUCUAAUCGUAGUUUUUAAUUAUACCUAGGAAAAUAAUCUGAAAUGUGUUUUGUAUGUGCCCAAAGUGAAGGUUGUGCAUAGGAGAUUAUUAAUAAAGAAAUUCAAACCUCUUUUAAUUAAAAUAUUUUAAAUGGGGUUUUCACGAUUUGGUGCUUUUUAGUUUGUGUUAUUGGCAAUGUACCAGAAUGUGUUGUACGUGAAGAGAAUAACCUUGACACUGGACUUGAGUCUGUAUGCAUAGUGAUUUCUAAAGAUUUUCUGGUCUUUUUCAAGGAGGAUAUAACUGGCAUAUCUUCCUUUCAAUGCAUGGGUUGGUCAUAACAAAAUGACUGUACUGUAACCACGUGGGAAAGGAUGACACAUGUAUAUUCCCCCUUAUAGUUUAUAUUUUGUAUAAAUGGCAAUGUUAGUUUUUGUUAGCUCUUCCGAAUGAAUGGUACAGAAUAACAAUGUACAAUAAAUUAUAAUAAAUUA